rfam:Roseburia intestinalis XB6B4 draft genome.
UUUGGGAGAAAAUUAGAAAAACUUAGUAUGCCUGUCUGCACACAGUGUUGUGCUGCCACGGACGGCAGCACAAGUCCUAAUGUGCCCGGAUGGCACAUUUAGGACGCACACGUCACUCCGCCACCCACCCACGCAGGCAUACUUAGCUUUUCUUAUUUUCGUACAAC